rnacentral:ncRNA from 1 species
CGAGGCGCCACUGGAGAGUAGCGGCGCGUGCCGCUCACCGAAGGGGGAAGCCGGCGCACGCCGGUGACGCUCUCAGGUACACAGACAGUGGGGACGGU